rnacentral:rRNA from 1 species
CAGCAGUGGGGAAUAUUGCACAAUGGGGGAAACCCUGAUGCAGCCAUGCCGCGUGUGUGAAGAAGGCCUUCGGGUUGUAAAGCACUUUCAGUAGGGAGGAAGGUAGUGUAGUUAACACCUGCACUAUUUGACGUUACCUACAGAAGAAGCACCGGCUAACUCCGUGCCAGCAGCCGCGGUAAUACGGAGGGUGCGAGCGUUAAUCGGAAUUACUGGGCGUAAAGCGCAUGCAGGCGGCCUGUUAAGUCAGAUGUGAAAGCCCGGGGCUUAACCUCGGAAUUGCAUUUGAAACUGGCAGGCUAGAGUCUUGUAGAGGGGGGUAGGAAUUUCAGGUGUAGCGGUGAAAUGCGUAGAGAUCUGAAGGAAUACCAGUGGCGAAGGCGGCCCCCUGGACAAAGACUGACGCUCAGAUGCGAAAGCGUGGGGAGCAAACAGGAUUAGAUACCCUGGUAG